GGAACACAAGGGGAUGGUCACUUAUUGUCUCCAUAGGUACGCCUUAUCUCCACCUUUUGGGCCAGGCUUGGUAAUCCACAGGGUAUAUAUCCAAAGAUAUUGAGAUGUGAUGUAUAUAUCCAAUGUACUCGCUUGGGGCAAAAUCUAAAUUUGAGUAAGUCACCAUCUUCCGUGCCAAAGACCCCUUGGGCAGAAGCUUUACUUUGAAAAUCUAAGGAAUAAGUGUUUAAG